AGUAACUGCGAGUGAAGCGGGAAGAGCUCAAAUUUAAAAUCUGGCGGCGUCCUCGUCGUCCGAGUUGUAAUCUGGAGAAGCGACAUCCGCGCUGGACCGUGUACAAGUCUCUUGGAAAAGAGCGUCGUAGAGGGUGACAAUCCCGUCUUUGACACGGACCGCCAGGGCUUUGUGAUGCGCUCUCGAUGAGUCGAGUUGUUUGGGAAUGCAGCUCAAAAUGGGUGGUAAAUUCCAUCUAAAGCUAAAUAUUGGCGAGAGACCGAUAGCGAACAAGUACCGUGAGGGAAAGAUGAAAAGAACUUUGGAAAGAGAGUUAAACAGUAUGUGAAAUCGCUGAAAGGGAAACGCUUGAAGUCAGUCGCGUCGGUCGGAAUUCAGCCUUGCUCACGCUCGGUGUACUUUCUGACCGACGGGUCAGCAUCGAUUUUGACGGUCGGAUAAAGGUCGAGGGAAUGUGGCACCUUCGGGUGUGUUAUAGCCCUCGGUUGGGAUACGACGGUCGGGAUCGAGGAAAACCGGGCGCUUUCGCGUUUGGGAUGCUGGCAUAAUGGCUUUA
rnacentral:rRNA from 1 species